UGCAGUCGAGCGGAUGAGAGGAGCUUGCUCCUCGAUUCAGCGGCGGACGGGUGAGUAAUGCCUAGGAAUCUGCCUAGUAGUGGGGGACAACGUUUCGAAAGGAACGCUAAUACCGCAUACGUCCUACGGGAGAAAGUGGGGGAUCUUCGGACCUCACGCUAUUAGAUGAGCCUAGGUCGGAUUAGCUAGUUGGUAGGGUAAAGGCCUACCAAGGCGACGAUCCGUAACUGGUCUGAGAGGAUGAUCAGUCACACUGGAACUGAGACACGGUCCAGACUCCUACGGGAGGCAGCAGUGGGGAAUAUUGGACAAUGGGCGAAAGCCUGAUCCAGCCAUGCCGCGUGUGUGAAGAAGGCCCUCGGGUCGUAAAGCACUUUAAGUUGGGAGGAAGGGCUUACAGCGAAUACCUGUGAGUUUUGACGUUACCGACAGAAUAAGCACCGGCUAACUUCGUGCCAGCAGCCGCGGUAAUA
rnacentral:rRNA from 1 species